rnacentral:misc_RNA from 1 species
AACGCACCUUGCGCCCCUUGGCCAUUCCGAGGGGCAUGCCUGUUUGAGUAUCAUGAACACCUCAACUCUCAUGGCUUGCCCAUGAUGAGCUUGGAUUUUGGGGGUUUUGCCGGCCUGUGGUUGGCUCCUCUCAAAUGAAUCAGCUUGCCAGUGUUUUGGUGGCGUCAUGGGUGUGAUAACUAUCUACGCUUGUGAUCGUCUGCUGAGUGACCUUCAGCGAUGGAGGUUUGCUGGAGCUUACAAAUGUCUCUCCUCGGCGAAGACAGCUUUUUGAACGUUCGAUCUCAAAUCAGGUAGGACUACCCGCUGAACUUAA